GUCUCUGUGGUGCAAUCGGUUAGCGCGUUUGGCUGUUAACUGAAACGCUGAUGAUUUGAGCUCACCCGGGGAUG
rnacentral:tRNA from 1 species